rnacentral:lncRNA from 1 species
AUGGAUGAUUUCCAUGUGUGCUUGGAUGCUGAAGCAGCCCAGAUGGAAAAGGAUGGCUGGCAGAAAGUGAGUUACCACUCAGGGAAAGCAAAGGCUGAACAACCAUGGCUCUCAAGACCAAGGAAGACAGUGUGGUGCAGAAUUCCCCAGGCAGCAUUUAUCUGCAAUGCUAUGCUCAUGCCCUAUGGCUCAGUGACACCAGUGUCUUCGUCAAGCCCCAGGACACUUCUGGACAUACCAAAUCAGUUCACUGACCAGCAUCACUUCAAGUUUUGCCAGCUAAUUUUCAUCCAGAAACUGCAUAAUCAUAAUCACGCUGCUGUCAUCCUCCUUUGAAGACAUUAGUUCUAGGAGAAUGCCUUCUCCAUUCUCUUGGCAGCUAAGCCUAUAGCACGUCAUCAUCUCCUCUACUCCUUGACCCUAAACAAAGACCCUGUUUUAUCGUAUGACCUCCUGGGUUUUUUUUCAUCUAAACUCUUUGCUCCAUAUUUUGAGCCACAUUAUUAUAGAUCCCAUGGAAUGUUUGAAUACCGCAAUGUUCAACUUCUCUUUUCAUGGCAUUGCUUCCUUAUGAAUACUGCAAGUAUAGUGGGGAAAAGAAUUGCUUGUCCUUGGGCCACCCUGAGAAACAACAUUAGCCUGCAAAUAAACGAAAUAAACGACAUGAAACUCA